ACCGACGGUUCAGCGUGGUGAGCGCGCUGCUGGGGAAGAACUCGUACAACGUCACCGUCAACCUAGGGAUCGACUAUGCCUUCAUUGUCGCGCUCGUCGUCAUCCUCGACGAGAUGCAUUACCAGCGAUGACACGCACGCUUCAGUUUUGGUUCCAAGCCGCGUGCCUUCCCUUCUGCUGUUGCGUGGAAUCAACGCUCGCCCAUUCUCGAAUGUGCCCAUUCUACAGAAGAGAAUUCAAGAUUAAUGUUGAGUACAACCAUGCUACUCUAUCUAGACAUUGCUGUCACCAUGAACUAGAAAAUGCAUGGAUUAAAAGGCUGCUUGUAAAUAUUGAUGCAAACAAUGUGGAUGAUAUGCAGAAUAGGCAGACUAUUUCUACUACACAAACUCUAGAGGAUUUGUUUACAUGGUUUCAGCAUCUGGCGUAUCUUUGCUACCAUGCGUGCUAGUUUUUCAAGUUGACAAGUAACUGUAUUGCAAAAGAAUAUGGUACUUAUGCACCUAUGGAGAAAGGGAAGAAGCAUACUUUUUUUGGCUCUGUUCUUGGUAGGAAGACACAAUAUGUACUCUCAGGAAGUCCUGAUGGUACUGCCAUGGCUUGGAAGGUUGAUUCUGGCAAAGGAGAGGUCUUCAUGUGUGCCCCCAAGGUCCUGAGUCACGACGACACAAGGCAUCACAAGGCUCAAGGUCAGAACCUCAUAAAGAAGCUGAAAAUUAAAAGAAUCAUCAUCGGUUCAAGGUUAGAACUGAAUCUAGACAUCGGACAUCUCAUUCAGAAAAAAAGAAGGAAGCGUCUCUUCAGAUAUGCUGCUCUAUGUAUAACCUGCACACAAAUAGAACUAUUGGUCUAUUCUAGAAUGAAAAACUAAACUAAGUUGUACAAGAACAUGUUAAAGCAAGUUGUGGUUCACCAGUGCUGUUAGGUUUAGCUGGUACUCAAUGGAAAACACAUCUCCACCAGGUAUACUAGAGAUCUGCUGUGUUAAUUACCGAUGAUCUACUUUCAUUAACCUUAGAACCAUAUUUGGAAAUGACUUGGUGAAUAUAACUAUUUAAAUAUGCUAUGUUAAUUAGUGUAUAUAUCUUUUUAAGCCUUAUUUGUCUACUAUGUGGUUGAUUGAUAAUAUGAUCUCUGUAUUUUGGGGGCCAAAGGAGCUCACUGGCGCUAUUGAUUUGAUCAGCCACUACAAACUACAUCCAUUUUUGUUUGGUCCCAGGAAAAAGAAUCUUUUGUUUUUUGGGCUAAUUCUCAAUUGUGUUGUAGUGUAGUAAUAGCCUUUUACUUCUAUAGAUAGGCAGCUGGUAGCCCCAAAAAUCUGAGCAGCAACCGUGAUUCAGUGAACUAAUGGUAACCUUACAUAUAUAAUCAUAGUUUUAUGUGCUUUCCCAUGUGCAAUAAUAGGAUCAUCACAUGACUAGCAGUUUAAACCAUUGAUGCUUGUUUAAGGGAGUUACAUUGCCCCCCACAUGGCAGAUGUAUACAUGCAAACCAUUAAUAAUUCAAGUUUUUUUAGUAUAGAUCUGCAUAGCAUUGAACUGGACAACUUACUGUGUUACUCAGUGUAAGGAAUGAUCUACUUCUGAUCUAUAUUGUUCCUUGUUUUUUCUCUUUUCUUCUUUUUAUGGGAAGCGGGACUGAAGAUAAGAUGGUUGCCUUGUCAUUGGCCACUGUCGGUGUUUUGGG